UCGCAAACCACGACCUUUAAUCGCCUCGUUAGAAGACAUGAACUGACCAGACCUCGAUCAGGUCUUGAGUGUAGAGACAAGGAGCGAAACAAACCUCUAACCGACAAACACUAAACUCAAAAGGAGAAAAGCAUACGAUCGAACCGGAGAGAUCACAAUAAAGCUCAUCAAAGGACAAAAGCAAGCUCAUCAAGACACGAAAAUAAGAGAGCUCUAGCAAGCUCAGACCAAAGCUUCGGGCAGCAAGAGAGGA
rnacentral:lncRNA from 1 species